UAUACAGUCUGUGUGUAUGUAGUUCCAAAUCAAAGCUGAUGAAGGUGGGAGGAAUAUGGAAAGAUGAAAGAGUAAUGUUUGCAACAGAAGAGCUGGAAAGAAAAGAAUUUCACUUAUCUGGACAGCUAGAUUACAGUGGAAGGCAAUAUUUGAUGGAAGACCCAUGCAAAUGUCAGGAGGUGAUAUAUAAAUAAAUCUGAGAACUGGAGAUGAUGAUGCCAGACAGAAUAUUAAUAAAAUCUCCUUACUCCUGCUUCUACCAUAUCUCUGGAGGUAAAGAAGAGAAUUUAGCUGCGUACCAGUUGCACACAAACUACUCCCUACUGCCAAAUGUUACAGACAAGAAGUUGCCAGGAAAGCAGUGCAUCUCAAGAAUGGCGGUAUAUCUAUGGGUUACUUGGCAGCACACAGUGAUGGCAAGCUCCACAGAGCAUCAUUUCCCUGAUUGGAAUGAAGUCAUCCCACAAUUUUUCUCCCCUUGAUUUCCAAAAUAAUUUUUACAAAAGAAAUUUUUUAUGUCUCUGCAGCUGCCACUCUCUACAAUCUAAAGGAUACUGCUACUAUCCCACUUGUGUCUAUAGUCCAGUUCAUACCACAAAUUGAACGAAAACCUACUGACUUCCAUGUUGUAAGGGGUUUCAUUCGUAUCAAAGAGGUGCUAUAGUUCCUUUGACCUUAUGAUCCUUUUAUCCAAAGUAACAAAAAUGAAUAAAAGUACAGAAAUGAUGAUUGAUCA
rnacentral:lncRNA from 1 species